CCCCGUGACAUCAUUGGGUGCUUCUGAUCUGCACAGGAGAACCGGAGUUCAGAUCAUUUUAGAGAAGGUAUCAAAAUGUAAAGGUUUUAGUAUUAGCUCAAGCGGCUUGUUUUGACCUGAUGCGUCAUGAGUCAUUGGUUCCUCAUUUGGCAAAGGAGGGACAGAGUUCCAGAGAAGAGAAGUAAUUUGUUUAAAGUUAUUCAGCAAGUCAUUAGCGGAGCAGUUCUGUUCACUGUCCCAGGGCCCGGAACCCAGCAUGGAUGGCCACCACCGUGGGCUGUACACCUGGAAACUGCAGUCCCUCCAACUUCUCUGGGAGGGCCUUUGCUCUGAUUCACUCCCCUAGAGACCACACUCCUUCCCAUGAGUGAAUUUACUGUGUGCCAGGCACCGUGCAGUGCUCUGAGAAGGCCACGAUGAUGGACGCAGGAUGCAAACCUCAUCAUUUUUUGCCCUCGUUAAAAUCUCUCACAGGCUUCCUACUUAUUUCAGGAUAAGGACUUCACUCCCUUGCCUGCCAUUCAGGGCUCCUCCUGUUCUGGCUCCCGACUCCAUCCCCAACCCCACUCCCGGUCACUUAAGGCAACAAACACUUUGGAUUCUUUGCCUAACAAUAAAUAUGUCAGGGGAAAACGUG